rnacentral:rRNA from 1 species
GUUGUAUGGUUAAGUGACUAAGCGUACACGGUGGAUGCCUUGGCAGUCAGAGGCGAUGAAGGACGUAUUAACUUGCGAUAAGCGUAGAUUAGGCAGUAAAAGCCACUUGAGUCUACGAUUUCCGAAUGGGGAAACCCACUAGCAUAAGCUAGUAUCGCUGCGUGAAUACAUAGCGCAGCGAGGCGAACUCGGGGAACUGAAACAUCUAAGUACCCGAAGGAAAAGAAAUCAACUGAGAUUCCGAAAGUAGCGGCGAGCGAAAUUGGACUAGCCCUUAAGCUUUAAAUGAUGCAGGUGAACACGCUGGAAAGCGUGGCAAUAAAGGGUGAUAGCCCCGUAACCGACACAUCAUUCUAAGUGAAAACGAGUAAGGCGGGACACGUGAUAUCCUGUUUGAAUAUGGGGGGACCAUCCUCCAAGGCUAAAUACUACUGACUGACCGAUAGUGAACCAGUACCGUGAGGGAAAGGCGAAAAGAACCCCUGUGAGGGGAGUGAAAUAGAACCUGAAACCGUGUACGUACAAGCAGUAGGAGCAAGGCAAUGCCUUGUGACUGCGUACCUUUUGUAUAAUGGGUCAGCGACUUAUAUUCAGUGGCAAGGUUAACCGUAUAGGGGAGCCGUAGGGAAACCGAGUCUUAACUGGGCGCUUCAGUCUCUGGAUAUAGACCCGAAACCGAGUGAUCUAGCCAUGGGCAGGUUGAAGAUUGAGUAACAUCAAUUGGAGGACCGAACCGACUAAUGUUGAAAAAUUAGCGGAUGACUUGUGGCUAGGGGUGA